rnacentral:tRNA from 1 species
UCGCGGGGUGGAGCAGCCCGGUAGCUCGUCAGGCUCAUAACCUGAAGGUCGUAGGUUCAAAUCCUACCCCCGCAACCAG